rnacentral:lncRNA from 1 species
GAGUGAACAUGGAAAGUAUACUUUUGAAUUUAGGGCCAUUACCCAAGUCAGCUCUUACAGAUAAUAAACCAAUUAAUAUUCGUAUCUAACUCAGGAAAACCAGAUAUCUAGACUAACAUGUCAGCUUGUCGAAAAUGGAGGAAAAAAGUAGGUUUUACAGAUUAGGGAGAAUCAUUAUUUCGUUUCUCUGUCCCGUCCUCUUAGCCAAGCUUUGUUACCUCACUUUUAUCGUUUCCGGCGGUCGUCAGGUUUCUUUUUGCCGUCGACCUCUCCCUUGUUCGCCACGUCAGCAUUUGUCUCUCACCAUGUCACCUUUUUCUUGUCUCUGCUGCUUUGGAUAUCUGAUACGGUAAAACUAAUCAUAAGGUUAGGGUGUCCUAAACUUCUAUGGAGAAUAGGCAAUGUGGAACCAAAAUUCACACCGUCAACAAUUUGUAACGAAGAAAGCAAACCUUUUUACGGGGGUCUGGGUUUUAUACAUAGCCAAGGACAAAAAGGUGCUGUAACGAUAGAAAAAACAAAAUUUAAAAACAAGAGAUUUUUAUUCCAAAUAUGCGUAUGAGCGUUCCAAAGACAGAAUCGUGUAGGACGUCCAUUUGGAAGGGAAAUUACAAUGAAAAUCCAAUAACACAUGCAGUAAUACUUAUCCACAUAAUUACAAGACUUGUUCAAGGCCGAGUUAAGCGCAAAGAUCUACAUAAUUACAAGACUUGUACCUAAUAUUUAUGUGCUCUGCCAUUGUAUUAGGCAACACACGCUUUCUUAUUUUCUAUUAUUCACAGCAAACAGUUUUAGGGUUUUAAGUAGAUUUGGAGAGAAAAUUCGUUCAGAGCUUUGUAUAUGAACUCCAUUGAUUUUUUAACCUUAUUCUAUGCAUUUUAUUCAGACUAUUGCUAUGUUCUGCUUUGCUAUGUCAAAGUAGUUCUCUUUGUUACAUAUAGGGUUAAUUAGGGUUAUGAAGGAUUAGCCAAAACUAUAUAAUUGCUAAUGUGAUAAAGAUAUCAAUCAUUAGAAUUGCUAUUAAUGCUUGUGCUCUAGAGUAUCUAACUAGAACUAUAUCUUAGGAUUGUAGACAACUACAACUGUAGGUUCUUCACCUAAAUUUAUUCUUUUGAGCUAGGUUGCUAAGUACAUACAACAGCUAGUCUAGGAAGUUUAAUGAACCUAUCGGAUAUGACUUUAAAACGGGUUUAAGGAAGUGUCGAUCGAUGCUAGAAAGGUAGCAACGAUCGACACUCAUUCUGGCUUCACAUGCGAAAGCUGGAAUACUGGACUUAGAAAAUUUAUUACUCACAUGCGAAAGCUGGAUAUCUAUACUUUAGAAUUCUAGUUCUAGAAUAUCACAUACAUACCUUAAGCAUUCUAUAUCUCUAUAAUCAUGAUUGCAUGAACUCUAGAUCUAGCUAUAUUCUCAUUACUUAAAACCAACCAAUCAAUUCUGCUUUUUCUGUUUGAUUUACUGCUUUUAAAUAUAUUGCUUAGCUUAAUCAUUGACUGCUUUGAGCUUACUGUGUGUCCUCGCUUCUUAUGGAUUCGAUCCCUAAGUACUACCACUACAAAAUAAAGGUUGUUUACCAUCAUUUAUAUUAUAUAUUUGCAUUAGUUAUAAAUGAUGUAAAAUUAUUUUACAUCACUUAAUUAAAUGACUCUGAAAGUGGUGAUGCAAAUAAUUUACAUCAUUUUAUUAAUAACUGAUAUAAAUAUUUUUAUUAUUUACAUCAAUUAGUGUAAUUGAUGUUAAUAUGUGUCAAUUGCAAAAAGUGAUAUUAACACAUACAUCAGUUUAAAAAAAAUGAUGUUAGUAUUAAAUCAGUUGAAUAAAUGAUUUCAACUAUUUCUAUGAUUUAAUGAUAACUAAAAUAAAAACGUAAUAUUAAUUUUUAAAAACGUAAUGAUGUUAGUAUACUUCUGUACAUUUAUGAUCAGUCAUUUUUCUCUAAGAAUACAUUUACACCUGACCAGAAUUAGUUUCCUCCUCCAACACCUCAUGCUUCUGCUGAAAUCAAUGUCAGAUCUCUCGACAUAUGUUUCCAGUAUAAUCUGUAAUGGUUAAAAAAACAGAAGAGAAUGAACUUUUACAAAUAAAGAUCUUUAAGUCAUAAGCAAAAGACAAAAAAAAAUGUAAUUUUAGAAAAGGAUAAAAAACAGAAGAUUCAUUGGAUUAGCAAACCUUAGUUCGUUGGAUUAAACAGAAUAAGAGGAAGAAGAAAUAAUAAUACCUUUUCAGAAUUUUCCAUCAAGUUCGUUGAUUAGUAAACCUUAGUUUUCUUUCAAAUCAUGCAAACGAAGAAACAUAAUCAUCCUCAUAUAAGAGAAAAAUUCUUCAUGCCACCAAUGGCUUUCUCAUGGGACGUCAUCCACUCA